ACGGGUGAGUAAUGUCUGGGGAUCUGCCCGAUGGAGGGGGAUAACUACUGGAAACGGUAGCUAAUACCGCAUAACGUCGCAAGACCAAAGUGGGGGACCUUCGGGCCUCACACCAUCGGAUGAACCCAGAUGGGAUUAGCUAGUAGGUGGGGUAACGGCUCACCUAGGCGACGAUCCCUAGCUGGUCUGAGAGGAUGACCAGCCACACUGGAACUGAGACACGGUCCAGACUCCUACGGGAGGCAGCAGUGGGGAAUAUUGCACAAUGGGCGCAAGCCUGAUGCAGCCAUGCCGCGUGUAUGAAGAAGGCCUUCGGGUUGUAAAGUACUUUCAGCGGGGAGGAAGGGAUGAGGGUUAAUAACCUUCGUCAUUGACGUUACCCGCAGAAGAAGCACCGGCUAACUCCGUGCCAGCAGCCGCGGUAAUACGGAGGGUGCAAGCGUUAAUCGGAAUUACUGGGCGUAAAGCGCACGCAGGCGGUUUGUUAAGUCAGAUGUGAAAUCCCCGGGCUCAACCUGGGAACUGCAUUUGAAACUGGCAAGCUUGAGUCUCGUAGAGGGGGGUAGAAUUCCAGGUGUA
rnacentral:rRNA from 1 species